AAGAGCCGGAUGAGGGAAAUCCUCAAGUCCGGUUCUGUGAGGGGGCUCAUAGUAACUUUGGGGCUAUUACCUCGAUAAAAGGUGGGCUAUGGGCUCUACUCGAC
rnacentral:ncRNA from 1 species